CUGGUACUGGCAGCGGGGAGGCAGGGACCUGGAGGGGUAUUUCUACGCUGGAGUGGAGGGACAUGGGAACAAGCUCAUGCUGAAGAGGAACAACAAUUGGCAGCAAACAUGGAAAAGCCUUUCACGGUGUGAGCUCAGCCUUUGUGGAGCAGCUCCCUUUCCUCCCAGGGUACUCAGGAAACUACCCAACCCUGUAACGUACACUGAAACAAUCCAACUGUGACAAGAUAUACUGGUAUAGGCAACAGGGAGGCAGGCAGCUGGAGAGGCUCUUCUAUUCUUAUGAAGACUGUUUGGUGAACUUCACAGCCGAGCCCAUGACAGCCCUGAGGAGGAACAAAAAAUGGGACCUAAACUGGAAAAACCUUUCACGGUUUGACUCAGCUAUGUAUUGCUACGUCUGCAGUACUGCACCGUGACAGAGCCCUGAGACAGCCUGAAAACCCCCAGAGAUAGAGCAUGAGAUUGAGACACUUUGAUGACUUUCAGCAUUUCACAUCUUAGGCCCUGCCUACAUUAAGGAACUAAACACUGGAGUAGCCACAUUGAACAUACCAGAAUAAGAUUCAUCAUUAUAAGCCCUGAUUUGCAUCAGUGCAGCA